rnacentral:misc_RNA from 1 species
AAUCCUCAAAAACCUUUCUUUGAUCUUUUCGAUCGAGGAAAGGAUUUUUGGACUUGGAGGCUCGAUGCCGGCCUUCGCUUUUGAAAGGCCAGCUCCUCCCAAAUGGAUUGGUGGGAUCUGUGCGACUUGACCCUCGACGUGAUAAGACCCUUUUACGUUUUGGAUUUGGUGCCAUCUCACUUAUAACCGUCUCACGGACAACGAUGGUGUUCCGGUCACCACCGUCUCAUCGGUGGGAGGCUUGACCCACAACAAAA